AAUUUAGAAAAAAAUCAUAAAAUGGCGAAAUGGGAGAAAGCCAGCUCGCGGGAAAACUGUUUGCCCACGAAGGUGUUGGGCACUAUGCGAGCGUGCAUGUGCGCACAGUGGCUGCGGGACGUACGCACAGCGUGCAAGUCCCAUCUGCACGCCAGCACUGAUGGGAAGUGCGCACAGUGCGCACGGUGUGGGGUCAGGACCUGCAUGUGCGUCCUGUCGCACGCAGGCGGGCCAUCUAUGUCACAUUGUGCAUGGAUUAGCGUUGCACACUGUGCACAUGUCGUUCGUGUAGUAGGCCUACGCGGACAAGCCCUGUGCACUUGGGGCUUGCACGCAGGCUAGCCCCUGUGUGCACAAUAGCAGGCUUGUGCACAUGCAGCGUGAUGGUCAGGCACUGCCACCUCGGGCAGUGCACCACCGUCGCUGGUGGAGGAAAUUUUCCUCCAUUUUUCGUGCCAAAAAUAUUUUUCUCCUUUCUCUUCACCAGAUUUUGCCACUUGGCGUGAAUUCAACAUUUUUAAAAUUCUAUAAAUUGCCUUUCCCUUCCCUUCCUCUCCACCCUUCUAU
rnacentral:lncRNA from 1 species